rnacentral:rRNA from 1 species
GUGCUCCCCCGCCAAUUCCUUUAAGUUUCAACCUUGCGGUCGUACUUCCCAAGUGGCCCGCUUCACGGCUUCCCUACGGCACCACGGCAGUUCACGACUGCCGUGACACCUAGCGGGCAUCGUUUACGGCUAGGACUACCCGGGUAUCUAAUCCGGUUCGUGCCCCUAGCUUUCGUCCCUCACCGUCGGACCUGUUCUGGUAGGACGCCUUCGCCACCGGUGGUCCCCAGAGGAUUACAGGAUUUCACUCCUACCCCCUGAGUACCUCCUACCUCUCCCAGUCCCAAGCAAUGUAGUAUCCCGCAGACGCCCAACGGUUAAGCCGCUGGAUUUCCCACAAGACUUGCAAAGCUGGCUACGGGCCCUUUAGACUCAAUAAUAUCGGCCACCACUCGAGCCGCCGGUAUUACCGCGGCGGCUGGCACCGGUCUUGCCCGGCCCUUGCUAACAGCCGUUUUUUAGACAGCUGGACAGACACCUAAUGUAGAUGCCACUCGAUGUUCCCCUAUCGCAGUUGCCUGCAUUGUAGAGUUUUCGCGCCUGCUGCGCCCCGUAGGGCCUGGAUUCGUGUCUCAGAAUCCAUCUCCGGGCUCUUGCUCCCACAACCCGUACUGAUAAUCGGCACGCCGGUACUUUACACCGGCGUCAACCUAAUCAGCCGCAGACCCAUCCAAAGGCGCCAGAGCUUUCAAUCAAAAAACCCUUCCAGUACUCUUGACCUAUCCGGUAUUAUCCCCAGUCUCCCGGAGUUAUCCCAGACCUUUGGGUAGGUUGUCCACGUGUUACUGAGCCGU